rnacentral:lncRNA from 1 species
GCAAUGGAGAAUGAAGGCGUCAAAAGAAUAAAUGCGAGCAUUCCAGAUGUAGUUGUGGAACACAUUAUGCAUAACAUGGAUGACUUCGAACUCAGAAACCUCUUUCUCAGGUAACUGAUUGAUUUUUGUAAUUUGUAACUAACUUAUUUUGUAACUAAUGACUAUUGCAUCUAACAAACAGAUAUGUAGGGAAUGGAGGGAUAUGGAUUCAGAUACACGGAAACACAUCACAAUUCCUCUAAUUUACGCAUCCACUCCGGAAAAACUCAAGAAACGGUUUCCUAAACUUCAAUCAUUGAAGCUCAAAGGGAAACCUAGAGCAGCAAAGUGUGGUAUUAUACCGGAGAAUUGGGGAGGUUAUGUUUCUCCAUGGAUUAAAGUGAUUCAAAAUUAUGAUAAUUGUUUGAACUCUUUACACUUCAAGAGAAUGAUUGUGAGCGACCAUGAUCUUUUGAUUCUUGCGGAGAGAGGCGGGAGUCUUUUUUCUCUUGUGCUUGAUGACUGUAGUGGGUUUACGACAAAAGGACUUGAAGAUAUUUGUCGUUCUUGCAC